CUCUGACCCAAUUUCAAUCCUCGCAUCGGCUUCAGUCUUUGCUGUCUCUUUAACGACUGUCCAGUAGCUCUUACGAGAUCCAGCAGCGAAAACGUCAAAAAGAGGUCCAGUGAUUUCCAUUUCAUUCCCUCCUAUUGCAUAUUGUUUUUGACUUGAUCGACUUCAAAAGAAGUACAUGUGCCUAAUGAUAAGGCCCAAUAACUGCUAAACAGCGAGGUAGGAAUAUUGGCAGCCAAUGCAGGCAUAUACUGCAAUAGAGUAGCACCAGCUGCUCUGUGAUGGAGUCAUGGAACUCGGAAGAUACCUAAAACUUCUCUACACUGGAACCUGAGAUCUAUAAAGUAAAGGGAGGCAGCAAGGACUGAAACAAACCUGAUCAUGUGGCCAUCAAUCUCGAAACCCUUCCCCUCCGGCUGAACGACCCCAACCGACC